UCAGACAUAAAAGGUGGCUUCGGCUACCACUUACAGAUGGACCCGCGGCGCAUUAGCUAGUUGGUGAGGUAACGGCUCACCAAGGCGACGAUGCGUAGCCGACCUGAGAGGGUGAUCGGCCACACNNGGACUGAGACACGGCCCAGACUCCUACGGGAGGCAGCAGUAGGGAAUCUUCCGCAAUGGACGAAAGUCUGACGGAGCAACGCCGCGUGAGUGAUGAAGGUUUUCGGAUCGUAAAGCUCUGUUGUUAGGGAAGAACAAGUGCCGUUCAAAUAGGGCGGCACCUUGACGGUACCUAACCAGAAAGCCACGGCUAACUACGUGCCAGCAGCCGCGGUAAUACGUAGGUGGCAAGCGUUGUCCGGAAUUAUUGGGCGUAAAGGGCUCGCAGGCGGUUUCUUAAGUCUGAUGUGAAAGCCCCCGGCUCAACCGGGGAGGGUCAUUGGAAACUGGGGAACUUGAGUGCAGAAGAGGAGAGUGGAAUUCCACGUGUAGCGGUGAAAUGCGUAGAGAUGUGGAGGAACACCAGUGGCGAAGGCGACUCUCUGGUCUGUAACUGACGCUGAGGAGCGAAAGCGUGGGGAGCGAACAGGAUUAGAUACCCUGGUAGUCCACGCCGUAAACGAUGAGUGCUAAGUGUUAGGGGGUUUCCGCCCCUUAGUGCUGCAGCUAACGCAUUAAGCACUCCGCCUGGGGAGUACGGUCGCAAGACUGAAACUCAAAGGAAUUGACGGGGGCCCGCACAAGCGGUGGAGCAUGUGGUUUAAUUCGAAGCAACGCGAAGAACCUUACCAGGUCUUGACAUCCUCUGACAAUCCUAGAGAUAGGACGUCCCCUUCGGGGGCAGAGUGACAGGUGGUGCAUGGUUGUCGUCAGCUCGUGUCGUGAGAUGUUGGGUUAAGUCCCGCAACGAGCGCAACCCUUGAUCUUAGUUGCCAGCAUUCAGUUGGGCACUCUAAGGUGACUGCCGGUGACAAACCGGAGGAAGGUGGGGAUGACGUCAAAUCAUCAUGCCCCUUAUGACCUGGGCUACACACGUGCUACAAUGGACAGAACAAAGGGCAGCGAAACCGCGAGGUUAAGCCAAUCCCACAAAUCUGUUCUCAGUUCGGAUCGCAGUCUGCAACUCGACUGCGUGAAGCUGGAAUCGCUAGUAAUCGCNNAUCAGCAUGCCGCGGUUG
rnacentral:rRNA from 1 species